UACGUAGGUGGCGAGCGUUGUCCGGAUUUACUGGGCGUAAAGGGAGCGUAGGCGGACUUUUAAGUGAGAUGUGAAAUACUCGGGCUCAACUUGAGUGUUGCAUUUCAAACUGGAAGUCUAGAGUGCAGGAGAGGAGAAUGGAAUUCCUAGUGUAGCGGUGAAAUGCGUAGAGAUUAGGAAGAACACCAGUGGCGAAGGCGAUUCUCUGGACUGUAACUGACGCUGAGGCUCGAAAGCGUGGGGAGCAAACAGG
rnacentral:rRNA from 1 species